rfam:Gossypium hirsutum cultivar TM-1 chromosome 21, whole genome shotgun sequence
CACAUCAGCACGCUUUGCUAACGUGGCUACAAAUCGCGUCCACUAGGGGGCGAUUUGUUGCCACGUCAACAAAGCGCUCUGACGUGG